GUGUCAGCCGCCGCGGUAAUACGAAGGGGGCUAGCGUUGCUCGGAAUUACUGGGCGUAAAGGGAGCGUAGGCGGACAUUUAAGUCAGAGGUGAAAUCCCGGAGCUCAACUCCGGAACUGCCUUUGAUACUGGGUGUCUUGAGUGUGAGAGAGGUAUGUGGAACUCCGAGUGUAGAGGUGAAAUUCGUAGAUAUUCGGAAGAACACCAGUGGCGAAGGCGACAUACUGGCUCAUUACUGACGCUGAGGCUCGAAAGCGUGGGGAGCAAACAGGAUUAGAAACCCUAGUAGUCC
rnacentral:rRNA from 1 species